AGGGAGUUCAUUCUAUUUAGUAAACAAACCUGAAAUCUGAGUUGAUACAUUUCGCAAUAUUCCAUUACCUGCUAAUAUUUUUUUCCACUACAACAUUCGAGAAUACCUAGAACAUAGCACAUCAAGAACAGGAACCUCACAGCCAUCUCUGUGGUCAAUGAAUAUAUUUCCACCAUGGACAGAAACUGUGACCUGCUUGUCAGGUAUUCUCCAGUCUUCUAAGGAAUUAAAGUGACAUUCAAGAUGUCUGUGAAGUACACACGCAUCCCAAUGACGGACUGGUCAGAUCCAGAGGCUGGUGGGUCAGCUUUCAACUAUGGGUCAGCUUUUACCUACGACCAAAACCCGUCGGCCAAAUACAAGUCUGCGUUUACAUACUCCAAGGGCAGUCUGGAGAUGGCCAGUAUCACUGACUUUGAAACAGAAGAGAGCUUCAUUUCAAGACUCCUCCACAGGGUUGUCGUGGUGUUCAGCUUCAUCCUCUGGCUGCUCACCUUCCCCAUCAGUGUCUGGUUCAGUUUUAAGUCGGUGCCAAACUACGAGAGAAUGGUUCUGUUUAGACUUGGACAUCUGAAGGGAGUGAAGGGCCCUGGGGUUGUGUUUGUACUGCCAGUGAUUGACAGAUGGCAUAAAGUGGAUAUCCGCAUCAAAGCCUUCAAUGUCCCUCCGAAACAGGUUUUGACCGCAGAUGGCGCUGUGAUCGAGCUUGGCGCUGAUGUUUUCUUUCGUAUAGCCGAUGUAGAAAAGUCUAUCACCCAUGUCCAGAACCUUGACCGGUCCACCCGCAUCCUGAUGCAGACUGCCCUGCUCAAUCUCCUCGUCCAGAGGAAACUGUCGGACAUCGAGAUGCAGAGGAUGGAGAUCUCCAGCAUUGUACAGGUGGAGAGCAACAAGCAGUCCAUGGACUGGGGAGUGGAGAUUUGUCGCAUAGAGCUGUCUCAGGUGAAGGUCCUGCGUGGCCCUCCCUCCAAGCCUCCCCCUCAGGUCUGCAUGCCUCCUGGGAUGUUUGGUGGGCUGGGUGGGUCAGGUGGGUCAGGAAGAGGGGGUGGGGAACAAGACCACCCGGCUUUACCUCAGGCGUUACAACAUCUAGCAUCAGCAUUCCUAGCCGCUCAGGGUCACAACCAGCCAGUACCAGUCGAGCAGCCCUCGCCACGUCCAGAUCUACUGAAAGCUGCUGCUUUACGUGCAGAACAGGAAGAAGUGGAGGGAGCCAGUGAAGUUCCGACCUUGACCCCUGAGGAAAUACUGAAGGCUGCCCAGUCUGUGAUCACAGAGUCCCUGGUCCAGAGGGUGGCCGCAGUGUAUCAAUUCCAGCUGACCGGGGAGGGAGGGGGUAUCUACUACCUCGAUCUCCGAAAUGGGCGUGGCAGUGCUGGAAGUGGUGCCUGCCCAAUUGGGGACAGCGAUGCCUCUUUGAUGAUGACAGUUGGUGACUUGCAGGCCAUGUUUGCAGGACGCAUGAAGCCAUUCCAGGCCUACAUGAAUGGCCGACUCCGCGUCGCAGGCGACCUUUCAGCUGCAAUGAAACUGGAAGAAGUUGUGAAGAAAAUAGUUGGGGAAUGAAUCGAGGGAUGAUGAUGCUACUGAAAAAUGUCAACAGCCCAGUUAGAAAGUGUUUUACAAAACUGAACUAACCAACUGUUUGCGAAUGAUAAUAAGAUGACAGUCAGCGAAGAAAGAUCAACUCAUCAUUAUGGCAGACUUGCAUUGUAGCAUAAACAUACUACACAGUGCUGCUGAGUUGUGAAUAGUUGUGAAUAGUUGUGAGGUGUUGAGGAAUAGUUUGAAUGAGAGGAGGCAAGGAUGAGUGCUGAAUAUUCAAAAAAUCCUGCAAGACAAUCGGACUGGCAUCCCGCAAAAUUUCCUUGCCCAGUCAGAAAGUUGCCUGACCAGAUUUUGUUAAUUUAACUAAUGAACUCUUUGACAGUGAAACUUAAAUCUUUGUCAGAUAACAAAGUUCAACACACUAUUAUGGCAGCCUUGUAUUGUUGUAUUAUUCCUACUACCCACUGCAGCAGUGUUGGGAGUACAUGCCAUGUGGCACUGUAGGGAGUACACGCUAAAACUAUUUCUAAACAUUUCAUUGGCUGGAAGAAGAUUUUGUGCAGUUGCAAGUGUUGCUAAGCUGUAUUCCUAGAUCAUUGUGUCAGUUAAUGUGAGUUUUCAUUAGACUUUUAUUCAUAUACUUUCACAUAUUCAGUUUAGAAAUUCAACAAAACCAUCCAGACUGCAUUUUCUGAAUGCACAAGAUGAAGUCUAGUCAUCCCAGACAGCAGAUCAGGCAGGCUGGCAUUUCAACUGAAGGGAUUUAUGACUUGGAUGAUGACAGAAUGUCAUUCCCCAACAGACUGGAUCGAUGCUCAGAAUAUCAAUCACUUGAUCGUCUGGCUCAGACAUCAUUAUUACAUUCUGUGGUCCUAGAGGUUGAAUAUGUCUGAGUGUGGUGUUUAACAACAAACACACAGAAAAUACACUCACACUGCCACUUGUCCUGACCGAUGCCAGAAUACCAGAAUAUUGUUAGUUCAAAUCCCAGUUGUCCCUAACUAUGUUCCUUGGUUUGGCAGUUCCAUACCAGUGCUCGUUCCUUUUACCAAAGUGAAAAUCAUGCAAGGCCUGCAUCACAUCAGCUGUCCUUCCACAUUUAGUUCAUAUGUGGUGAUAUGACAGGGAUAGUUCAAAGGGGCAUCAAACCCAAGUUACUCACUCACUCCUCUGAUGACAAGCUGUUAAUUCCAAGGCCAAACGUACAAGAAUGUUGUCUACCAGUAUAUUAUCAUGAUUAUAAUGUAUAUUAAUGUGUGUGACUUAGUGUGGGAGUUGUGUGACCAUUUCAUUAACGGCAUUUAACAUUUACAUGAGCUUACAUGAUUCUUGUUCCCCUUUUCAAAAAAGGAUUGGAAACAAGUGUUGUAACUUGUAUGUAAUAAAACAGCAGUCAGUUUUUGGCGAAGUAGAAGGGAACUACGUUAAGACUUUGAGUCUACUGAGGUUUAGCUCAACUGCAAAAGGAACAUGCGGGACCAAGCUUAUACUUCAACACAGCCAUAGGUUUGAAACAUAAAAGGCAAGAAUGUUUUUUUCGUUUUUAUUGUUCAUAUUUUCUGGGCCAUUAUUCUGAGAUGCAUAAUUUAAAAAAAUAGAAUUUAUAAGUUAUGAACUUUAUUUCCCUUAAAACCUAUGAAAGAAAUGUUACAAACAAUUGCAGUAUCAAUGCAGUAUAAAUGGUUAGUAAAACGCAUCAUUUUAGUAUACGUUUUAAUUUUUCACCAAAUGCAGUUGACUUGUGUGAUAAAAAAUUAUAUGUCUGUGUGGGUUUAUUAAUGUUAAACUGUCAUCGGUUCCCAAUUGCGCAGGUCAAUGCUCAUGCUGUUGAUCACUGGAUUGUAUGGUCCAGACUCGAUUAUUUACAGACCGCCCCCAUAUAGCUGGAAUAUUGCUGUGUGUGGCGUAAAACUAAAGUCACUCACUAUUAAUGUUAAAAUCUUUGAUAUUCGUUUUCAAUUACAAAAACAGUUAUGGUUUCCUUGUCUGUAAGUUAAGUGUAGAACGUCAGUACAAAAAAUACCCAGUUUUGACAAUCCUCAGAAAGGAAUUCAGUAUUGUGUAAAGUGAGAAUGGGUGUGGAAAUUAUAUGAAUUGACCGUUAAAACUCAGUGCUGACAUCAGGUGACACCCACCAUUUAUAAAAUGUUCCUACAAUGGCAGUAUGUUUUGUCUGACGCUGCACAGCAGUAGAAUUGUUCAGUUAUAUGUUAUAUUCUUCAGUUUUGUAUCCGUCUUGGAAUCAGUCUGCGAGUGUUGCAUGGGAAUCAAAUCUCGUGAGAGUGAAAUGAAUUCUUCAAAUCUUUACUUCUACCAGGGAGAAUAGAAGACGAUCUUCUCUGCUUCUGCUGUAGAUCAUCCCUGCUUCUACAAUUCGUAGCACCAUAAUUAUGUCACAUGAACAAUGUCUUUCAAACCACACAAGUAUGUGUUUGUUCAAGCUGUACAGUCUGUGUUUUAUGCAUUUAUGGUAAAUUAUCAGUUGUAAAUUAUUUGCUGUGUUCAAUAUAGAAUGGAAGAGUCGUUCUUCAUUCGUGUCACACUCGUGUAUUUCCGGGACAAGCCGAAUAGCUGUUACGGAAAGGGGCGAGUGGUGACGACUGGUUCUUGUUAGAUGCUAAUUUUACAAAGGCAACACGCGAGUUUAGUAAAACUUGUAUCUAACAAUAAUUGUUUGCUCACAUGUUUUAACUAUGUCACAGUUCAUAUUUGUGGAACGUUUGACGUUUUGAAUUCACGAACCAAAAAAGUGGUAGCGUAGUUAUUUACAUAUCGAACAGCCUGUGCACUACUUUGCGCAUUCCAGCGUAUGCGCAGUAGCAGGAAGUUCUUUAACUUUUGUAGAUAAUAAAGGACUGUAGAAUCA
rnacentral:misc_RNA from 1 species